rnacentral:lncRNA from 1 species
GGGAAAAUACCUUUUCAAUUUUUCAAGAGUGGUGUCCAUUUUCAAAAGAGAAUUAGAGAAGAGAUUCAAAGAAGGGAGAAAGAGCAAAGAAUUGUACAAAUAUAUACAAAUAUCAGUUAUUAUGGGAAACUAAAAGAACCGACUUAAGUCACGGAGUACCGUUAUCCGCCAUUUAACCGGGGUGAGAGAGAGACUAGCAAAACCAAAACAAAACAAAACACAAAACAAUGUGAGAAAAAGAAUCAAUCUUUAUAUAUAGGAUCACUCAAUUCAAUAGAGUCAUUUUCAACUGAAAAAUUGUCCAAAUAAACUUUCAAACAAUGCCCAUUUACCUUGAAAACAUUGCCAUUCUUUGGAUUCUC